GGGGGGGGGGGGGGGGGGGGGGGGGGGGGGGGGGGGGGGGGAGCGGGGGGGGGGCUGGGGGCUCGGACGGUAGGGGCGGGCGGGGGAGUGACGCGUGGAUAAGCUGCCUAUAAGACUGGGAUAACUUCGGGAAACCGGAGCUAAUCCCGGAUAAUAUAUUGAACCGCAUGGUUCAAUAGUGAAAGACGGUUUUGCUGGCACUUAUAGAUGGAUCCGCGCCGCAUUAGCUAGUUGGUAAGGUAACGGCUUACCAAGGCGACGAUGCGUAGCCGACCUGAGAGGGUGAUCGGCCACACUGGAACUGAGACACGGUCCAGACUCCGACGGGAGGCAGCAGUAGGGAAUCUUCCGCAAUGGGCGAAAGCCUGACGGAGCAACGCCGCGUGAGUGAUGAAGGUCUUCGGAUCGUAAAACUCUGUUAUUAGGGAAGAACAAAUGUGUAAGUAACUAUGCACGUCUUGACGGUACCUAAUCAGAAAGCCACGGCUAACUACGUG
rnacentral:rRNA from 1 species